CACGUAGGGGACGAGCGUUGUCCGGAUUCAUUGGGCGUAAAGCGCGCGUAGGCGGCUCGGAAAGUCGGUCGUGAAAUGCCGGGGCUCAACCCCGGGACUGCGUCCGAUACUCCCGAGCUGGAGGCAGGUAGGGGAGAUCGGAAUUCCUGGUGUAGCGGUGAAAUGCGCAGAUAUCAGGAAGAACACCGGUGGCGAAGGCGGCUCUCUGGGCCUUACCUGACGCUGAGGAGCGAAAGCGUGGGUAGCGAACAGG
rnacentral:rRNA from 1 species